UGCUAAAAUAGGAAAUUAUAAACUUCCUAAAUCAAUUAAGAUAUGGUUCACUUAAAUAAUUUCUCACCCAAUGCUUACAUAAGAAUUUGCCACCUUCACUUCAAUGUUGCCACAAACACAAACAAAAUGUUAAAUAUCAAUCAUACAAACCUAAUCCCCAGAAUUAAAAGGUCAAUUCAGUUUCUUUUCUUUAUCCUUCGAUGUAUAUUGUCCAGACAACAUCCAUUGGCGUGCAUUGGUGUAAAAAACAAACAAUACGAAGUGAGAAAAGCAGAGAAGCAUAAUCAUUGCUUCAAAAAGGAAAGGAUACUUCUUUG
rnacentral:misc_RNA from 1 species